GAUCCCGUAGCUCAGCAGGGAGAGCGCCACCUUGACAGGGUGGAGGUCGUGAGUUCGAGGCCAGUCGGGAUCA
rnacentral:tRNA from 1 species